rnacentral:rRNA from 1 species
CCUACGGGAGGCAGCAGUGGGGAAUAUUGCACAAUGGGGGAAACCCUGAUGCAGCGACGCCGCGUGAGUGAAGAAGUAUUUCGGUAUGUAAAGCUCUAUCAGCAGGGAAGAAAAUGACGGUACCUGAUUAAGAAGCCCCGGCUAACUACGUGCCAGCAGCCGCGGUAAUGCGUAGGGGGCAAGCGUUAUCCGGAUUUACUGGGUGUAAAGGGGGCGUAGACGGCAGCACAAGUUUGGAGGGAAAUGCCGGGGCUUAACCCCGGACCUGCUUUGGAAACUGUGCAGCUAGAGUGCAGGAGAGGUAAGUGGAAGUCCUAGUGUAGCGGUGAAAUGCGUAGAUAUUAGGAGGAACACCAGUGGCGAAGGCGGCUUACUGGACUGUAACUGACGUUGAGGCUCGAAAGCGUGGGGAGCAAACAGGAUUAGAUACCCGGGUAGUC